AAAAAACUUUAAAUCACUUUUAGGAAAAAAAAGAGACAUCAGAGUUGCAGUGAAACAUAAAAUGCGACACCGUGUGACUUACGGGUCUUCUUGGCCGAGUCUUCAACAAACAGCGAGGAGAUGUCCUCGUCCACCCCCACCUCGUUCUUGGCGAUGCAGGUAUAGGCUCCGGUGUCCUCGUACCGGACGCUGCCGAUGAAGAGCUCACUACCAUUUGCUGCAAGAAAGGAGCACUUAAACACUCCUCACCUAUGAGAGAGAGCUGUUUGGAGGAUCUGGGCUGCAGGUCCAUGCCGUUCUUCAGCCAGAGGAGUUUGGGAUUCGGGAUGCCGUCGGCGUGGCAGUGGAGGCUGGCAGACACCC